ensembl:lincRNA
AUGUGCAGGCUGUGUGCAGAAGGAGGGGAUGAUACACAGGGUGAUGUUGAGCUCCAGCCCCUCAGAGACCCUUACCCAUCCCGGGGGACACUGGAUCCCAGGUCCGACCUGGACUUUUUCUUUUCUUUCAGCCUCUUGAGCAACCCCUGGAGGAAGGUGGUAUCAGCUGGGCAGAACUCUGGGCUCCCUCCUCAGCUCCCACCCACAGGAGAAGGCUCUGCUGGUCUCGAGGGACCAAAACCAAGAUCGGGCUGCAUUAGCAUCAUUAAUAAGGACAAGCAGUUUCUCCGUGGCUGCCUCACCCGAACAUUGUGGACCUGGCUGGAGCCAGCAGCCUCUGGCUCCGUCUUUCCGGAGAUCCGAUCUGUGGGUGGUCAGAGGUGGGAGGUGCACCAUCCAGUGACCAUGUCAUACUGUUCCCUCUUGAGUCUCUGCCACGCCCACCUGCCACAGGCCCAGUACUGUGUUUACCACUCUGCAACAUGCUUUACUCCCCCAAAGCCAUUCAAAGGGCUGUAGUAACUGAGACCCAGACAGGUCGAGUCACUUGCUUGGAGCCACACAGGUAAUGAACGGAGUUGGGCUUCACACACAAGCAUUUUCCUCUUAACCAAGACAUUGGGGUAAGUCUGGGAUGCUAAAAAGACAGGACAGAUAUCUGAGUGUGGUGGUGAAUGUCUGUAAUCCCAGCACUAGGAGACUGAGGCAUGAGGAAUACCAGAAAUUCAAGGCUAGCUUGCGCUACAUAUUGAGAACUUGUCUCAAAACAAACAAACAAAAAACCAACAACAGCAAACAGGGCAGCCCAGGGAGAUUGAGGCAGGAGGACUGUAAGGUCAAGCCCAGCCCGGACAACUUAUCAAGACUCUAUCUCAAAAAAAAAAAAAAAAAGGCCGAGGAUGUAGCUCCGUGCAAAGACCUGGGUUCAAUCCCCAGUGCAAACAAAAAUAAAAAUGAACAAAAACAAGGAUAAGAGCCUUGGUUCCUUACCUAAGCAACUACAUCUAAAGGUGGAAAGUAUUCAAAGUUUAAGGGACAGAAAAAACUCAGGAUAGGCAGCAGUCUCUUUUUGAGUCAAGGAAGACUUCCAUAGGGAUUUGCCCAAGGUGUUAAACAGGAGGUUGGAUUUUGACACACAGAGAAAGCCGUGCAUAGUGGCACGACUGUCAUCUCUGUACUGGGGAGGCUGAGGCAGGAGGAUCUCCACAAGUUCGAGGCCAGCCUGGUAAGGGAUGGGCAAAGCCCAGCAAAAUAAAAGGAAGGACAAGAGGGAUGCUUGGGUCCAGAGGCUAGAAGGGAAGGCCCAGGAAAUAGAUUGGUACAUGUUUGGGGCACUAAUUGGAGGGCUUUUAUCAUGGGCGUGAUAGAAGCCAUGGGAGGGGUUAAGCAGGUGAGGAGCAGCACCGCUUACUAGAGAGCUGUCUUUGGAUCUGAUGCAGUGGGCAAGCACUGAUGCCCUGGAUGGGGUUAAAGGUUUGCCUCUGCCGGAUAUGAGAGUUGAGAAUUAGGUGAGCUCCCAGAAAAUAGGCCUUAUCAACCUUCCCACAUGAACAGUGUGUUCCCUUAUUUCACCACUAGGGGCAGCAAAGGGUAACUCCUUGUGGGUCCCUUGGACACGCCAGGUUUCGGGCUGGUGAGGUGCUAUGCACUUUGCUGAGUUUCAAUUCUUGUGACAUCCAUUACCUUUUUAGGUCCCUCUUGGGACCCUUGGCACCCCAUCUGUCCUUUUAUUUCUUUUCUUCUCUUUCUUUUUGUUGUUGUUUUGUUUUUUGAGACAGGGUCUCACUAUGUAGUUCAGGCUAGCCCUGAAGUCACUAUGUAGCACAGGCUGGCCUCAAACUUGUGGUGAUCCUCCUGCCUCAGCCUCCCCAGUGCUGGGAUUCCAGAUGUGCGCCAUCACACCCGGCCUUCUUCUGUCAUUUUCUGUUGACUUUUUAAAACUGUUACCCUCCCUCCCGUGAUCGCAAAAGUUCAGGGAAAAUCACCUGACUUGGUCACCACCACGUCUUCUGUCUCAGUCAGGGACUGACACACAUUAACUGUGUGACAACCCCCUGCGUGACUGACUGAGCAUGAAUUCGUAAAAUGAUAUGCUUUUCAAGGUAGAGAUCAAUAAUACCGUUGAGCUGAUGGGGAAACCCAGUGUGGUAGCACAUAUCUGCCAUCGCAGCACUUGAGUGUCUGAGACAGGAGGAUGGCUGUGAGUUCAAGGUCUGCCUGGGCUGCACAGCGAGACCCCGUCUCAAACGAGCCAAACCCAAACCAAACCAAAGCAAAAAAAACACGGGGAAGUGGAGCUCAGGGAGGUGACGAGACUAAGACACAUGAGAGACCAGUUAGGGCCAAGAGCCUUUGGCGUCUGGACGCUACCAUAGACCACAGUGCUUUUGUGAGUCCCUGUCCCUUCCGCAGACUUCCGGGAGGUCCCUGGCGACCCCGCCCCCACCCCUCUUUGGGUGAAAGAAGGAAGACGCUGCCGCCCCC